GAUGAACGCUAGCGGGAGGCCUAACACAUGCAAGCCGAGCGGUAGAGUUUCUUCGGAAACUUGAGAGCGGCGCACGGGUGCGUAACACGUGUGCAACCUACCUUUAUCUGGGGGAUAGCCUUUCGAAAGGAAGAUUAAUACCCCAUAAUAUAAUGAUUGGCAUCAAUUAUUAUUGAAAACUCCGGUGGAUAGAGAUGGGCACGCGCAAGAUUAGAUAGUUGGUGAGGUAACGGCUCACCAAGUCAAUGAUCUUUAGGGGUCCUGAGAGGGAGAUCCCCCACACUGGUACUGAGACACGGACCAGACUCCACGGGAGGCAGCAGUGAGGAAUAUUGGACAAUGGGUGAGAGCCUGAUCCAGCCAUCCCGCGUGAAGGAUGACGGUCCUAUGGAUUGUAAACUUCUUUUGUACAGGGAUAAACCUACCCUCGGGAGGGUAGCUGAAGGUACUGUACGAAUAAGCACCGGCUAACUCCGUG
rnacentral:rRNA from 1 species